rnacentral:rRNA from 1 species
GCUUGUCUCAAAGAUUAAGCCAUGCAUGUCUAAGUAUAAACAACUUUGUACUGUGAAACUGCGAAUGGCUCAUUAAAUCAGUUAUAGUUUAUUUGAUGGUGCUUACUACAUGGAUAACCGUGGUAAUUCUAGAGCUAAUACAUGCGCAAAAGACCCGACUGUUUGGGAGGGUUGUAUUUAUUAGAUAAAAAACCAACCCCUCACGGGUUCCUUGGUGAUUCAUAAUAACUUUACGGAGCCCAUGGUCUUGCGCCGGGGCCAGGUCAUUCAAAUUUCUGCCCUAUCAGCUUUCGAUGGUAGUGUAGUGGACUACCAUGGCUUCAACGGGUGACGGAGAAUUAGGGUUCGAUUCCGGAGAGGGAGCCUGAGAAACGGCUACCACAUCCAAGGAAGGCAGCAGG